UACGUAGGGUGCGAGCGUUAAUCGGAAUUACUGGGCGUAAAGGGCUCGUAGGCGGCCAACUAAGUCAGACGUGAAAUCCCUCAGCUUAACUGGGGAACUGCGUCUGAUACUGGAUGGCUUGGAUUCGGGAGAGGAAUGCGGAAUUCCAGGUGUAGCGGUGAAAUGCGCAGAUAUCUGGAGGAACACCGGUGGCGAAGGCGGCAUUCUGGACCGAUAUUGACGCUGAGGAGCGAAAGCCAGGGGAGCAAACGGG
rnacentral:rRNA from 1 species